AUGUAAACCUUGAGUGCUGAUUGUGUGUGAGAUGAAAAGGGAAUUCCACCCCGAAUUAACAACGGGUAACGGAAGCUGCCCCGCAACUGUAAUUGGCGACGAAAUCUGCGAAAUACCACUGGAAACUGUUUGAACGGUUUAAACUGAUUAAACGGCUUUCCGGGAAGGUGCGGAAAGUAGGACGACCCGAAAGCCAGGAGACCUGUCUUGCACAAUUUUAAAAUU
rnacentral:ncRNA from 2 species